rnacentral:rRNA from 1 species
GGUUGCGAUCAUACCAGCACUAAUGCACCGGAUCCCAUCAGAACUCCGCAGUGAAGCGUGCUUGGACGAGAGUAGUACUAGGAUGGGUGACCCCCUGGGAAGUCCUCGUGUUGCAACCCC